rnacentral:tRNA from 1 species
GCCAGGAUGGUCUAAUCGGUUAAGGCGUCGCCCCGGUCAGGAGAAGGUUGCGGGUUCAAUCCCCGCUCCUGGCC